rnacentral:lncRNA from 1 species
GGCCUGUUCCCUGCAAAAAAAGGGAAUUUCUGGGUUGGUUCCCUGCAAAAAAAGGGAAUUUCUGGGUCUGUUCCCUGCAAAAAAAGGGAAUUUCUGGGUGUGUUCCCAGCAAGAAAAGGGAAUUUCUGGGUCUGUUUCCAGCAAAAAAGGGAAUAUCUGGGUCUGUUCCCCACAAGAAAAGGGAAUUUCUGGGUUUGUUCCCAGCAAAAAAAGGGAAUUUCUGGGUUUGUUCCCCACAAAAAGGGAAUUUCUGGGUUUGUUCCCAGCAAAAAAAGGGAAUUUCUGGGUCUGAUCUCUGCAAAAAGGGUAUUUCUGGGUCUGUUCCCCACAAAAAAGAGAAUUUCUGGGUUCCUUCCUUGCAAAAAGGGAAUUUCUGGGUUUGUUCCCUGCAAAAAGGGAAUUUCUGGUUGUGUUUCCACAGGAAGGGGUCCCACAGGAGAUGAUCCCCACACACAGGAGAUCCCCACACAGGAGGUCCUACAGGAGGAGAUCCCACACAGGAGGAGAUCCCUCACUGGAGAUCCCCUCACAGGAGGGUCCCACACACAGAAGGAGAUCCUACAGGAGGUCCCACAGGAGGAGAUCCCACACACACAGGAGGAGAUCCCCACACUGGAGAUCCCCUCAAAUGAGGGUCCCACACACAGGAGGAGAUCCUACAGGAGGUCCCACAGGAGGAGAUCCCACACACACAGGAGGAGAUCCCCACACUGGAGAUCCUACAUGAGGGUGCCACACAGAGGAGAUCCCCCCUGAAGAUCCCCCAGAAGAUCCCUCAGGAGAUCCCUCAGAAGACCCCCAGAAGACCCCUCAGAAGAUCCCCCAGAAGAUUCUCCAGAAGAUCCCUCAGAAGACCCCCCAGAAGAUCCCUCAGAAGACCCCUCAGAAGACCCCCAGAAGAUCCCCCAGAAGAUCCCCCAGAAGAUCCUCCAGAAGAUCCCUCAGAAGAUCCUCCAGAAGAUUCUCCAGAAGAACCCCCAGAGGAUCCUCCAGAAGACCCC